rnacentral:rRNA from 1 species
AUACGAAGGGUGCUAGCGUUGUUCGGAAUUACUGGGCGUAAAGAGCAUGUAGGCGGAUAGAUUAGUCAGAGGUGAAAGCCCCGAGCUCAACUCGGGAACUGCCUUUGAUACUGUUUAUCUAGAGACCGAGAGAGGUGAGUGGAAUUCUCAGUGUGGAGGUGAAAUUCGUAGAUAUUGGGAAGAACACCAGUGGCGAAGGCGGCUCACUGGCUCGGAACUGACGCUGAGAUGCGAAAGCGUGGGGAGCGAACAGGAUUAGAAACCCUAGUAGUCC